rnacentral:rRNA from 1 species
AUAAUCACUUGUUCUUUAAAUAGGGACUUGUAUCAACGGCAUCACGAGGGUUAUACUGUCUCCUUUUUCUAAUCAAUGAAACUGAUCUCCCCGUGAAGAAGCGGGGAUAAACUUAUAAGACGAGAAGACCCCAUGGAGCUUUAAACCAAUUAUAUACCUCAUCAACUUAAAUCAUGCUAGUCUCAGAAUAAUAUAUAAUAGUUUUAGAUUGGGGGGAUCACGGAGUAAAACUAAACCUCCUUGACAAACGGACCUUGCCCUUAUUUAAGAAGUACCCUUCUAAAAAUCAACAAAUUGAUGUUUAAUGACCCAAAUUUUUGAUCAACGAACCAAGUUACCCUGGGGAUAACAGCGCAAUCUACUUCAAGAGCUCAUAUCGACAAGUGGGUUUACGACCUCGAUGUUGGAUCAGGAUAUCC